UACAGAGGGUGCAAGCGUUGUUCGGAAUUAUUGGGCGUAAAGGGCGCGUAGGCGGCUUCGCAAGUGACGGGUGAAAUCCCUCGGCUUAACCGAGGAACUGCCUGUCAAACUGCGUGGCUUGAGACCAGGAGAGGUGAGUGGAAUUCCCAGUGUAGCGGUGAAAUGCGUAGAUAUUGGGAGGAACACCAGUGGCGAAGGCGGCUCACUGGACUGGUACUGACGCUGAGGCGCGAAAGCGUGGGGAGCAAACAGG
rnacentral:rRNA from 1 species